rnacentral:rRNA from 1 species
CAUGUCCUAUUGUUUAUGAUUUUAGGUCAGACCUGCUCGAUGAAGUUUAAAUUGCCGCAGUAUUUUGACUGUGCGAAGGUAGCAUAAUAAUUAGUUUCUUAAUUAGGGACUGGAAUGAAAGGUUUAACAAGGGGAUUACUGUCUCUAUUUAAUUUUUUAUUGAAUUUUAUUUUUGAGUUAAAAAGCUUAAAUUUUUUUAAAAGACGAGAAGACCCUAUAGAGUUUAAUAAUUUAGUUUGAUUAUGAUUUGGUAAUAUAGUUUAAUUACAAUUAUUUGGUUGGGGUGACUUAAAGAUUAAAUUAAUUCUUUGAUUAUUGGGUUAAUGAUAUUUAAAUUUUAAAUCUGAGGUUUUCAAGUUUAAAUUAAAUUACCUUAGGGAUAACAGCGUAAUUCUUUUUUAAAGUUCUUAUUGAUAAAAGAUUUUGCGACCUCGAUGUUGGAUUAAAAUAAAUUUUUGGUGCAGUAACUUAAGGAUUGGGUCUGUUCGACCCUUAAAAUUUUACAUGAUCUGAGUUUAGACCGGCGUGAGCCAGGUUAGAUUCUAUCUUUAGAAUUAUUUUGUGUUUUAGUACGAAAGGACCAAUCACGAAUUAUAAAUUA